GGUGCUAUGAUGACUCUUUGGUCUUUAGUCGGAUACCCCUUCACUCUCUUCAUGAGUGAGACAUCCAGUCUGAGCAUG